AGAGUUUGAUCCUGGCUCAGGAUGAACGCUGGCGGCGUGCCUAAUACAUGCAAGUCGAACGCACAGCGAAAGGUGCUUGCACCUUUCAAGUGAGUGGCAAACGGGUGAGUAACACGUGGACAACCUGCCUCAAGGCUGGGGAUAACAUUUGGAAACAGAUGCUAAUACCGAAUAAAACUCAGUGUCGCAUGACACAAAGUUAAAAGGCGCUUUGGCGUCACCUAGAGAUGGAUCCGCGGUGCAUUAGUUAGUUGGUGGGGUAAAGGCCUACCAAGACAAUGAUGCAUAGCCGAGUUGAGAGACUGAUCGGCCACAUUGGGACUGAGACACGGCCCAAACUCCUACGGGAGGCUGCAGUAGGGAAUCUUCCACAAUGGGCGAAAGCCUGAUGGAGCAACGCCGCGUGUGUGAUGAAGGCUUUCGGGUCGUAAAGCACUGUUGUAUGGGAAGAACAGCUAGAAUAGGGAAUGAUUUUAGUUUGACGGUACCAUACCAGAAAGGGACGGCUAAAUACGUGCCAGCAGCCGCGGUAAUACGUAUGUCCCGAGCGUUAUCCGGAUUUAUUGGGCGUAAAGCGAGCGCAGACGGUUGAUUAAGUCUGAUGUGAAAGCCCGGAG
rnacentral:rRNA from 1 species